GUUCUGUUUUGGGGCCGAGCCGCAUUAAACAUCCCGGGAUAUAUUUCACCCUGAAAGCGUUAAAUGACUAAUGCCGGGCUGUAGAGCAGGAGCACAGGUCAGUUAAUAAGAAAUGAGAUAAAGUAUAUUUAGUGUUGUUAUCGUGGGCCCGAUAAACACGCUUUUCUCUGAGCGUAGCUCUGACGUCAGAGAUGAAUGGUACCAAUGCGCAGUGAUCAUGGAGCCGUCAUUUACCCGUAACAAGACCGGAAACGCUCUCUAAUGUCUUUCAAAAUAAAACCAAAGUAAAGCUCCAUUUUACGUCAGGUUUCCUCUUUAUUUCCAUUAGAACAACAAAAAUCGGAGGCAAUGUUCAACAUCUGAAGGGAGACAAUAAAAAAGAAAGAUUUCUGUUAAUGGUAUUUUUUUUUCUUUAAUACUUUGUGAAAUUUUAAAGAAAAAAACAUAUUUUUUGUUGUCAUGCAUUUUAGUACGUCACAUAUCUAUAAUGCAAAAGGAUUAAGCACGUUUGCUGACUUGUCCGUGUGAAUAUACUAGUUUAGUUGCCCUGAUACAGAUUUCUUCCUCAAAAUAUUAUCAAACUUUGUAAGAUUUUGAAAAAAUUUAAAUUAAAAAAAAAAAUAGCGAGAAAAACCUGCAAACACUCGAGCCCCAAACUGUGCCAAAUCCAGAAAGUUCAAUUCAAAUCAGAUUGACUUAUAUGGCGCCAAACCACAACAACACACACCUCGAGGUAUUUUAUACUGUAAGGUACAAUAAUAGUGAGAAACCCCUAAAAUCAAACGACCCCCUUGCAGAGGGGACUUGGGAAGGGACAGUGUUUAACAGGAAGAAACCUCAGGCAGAACCAGACUCAGGGAAGAUGAGACGGGAUUAAAAAAAACACAUUAAUCUCUGGGGAGAGUCAGAGAAUGAACUAAUGAAACUAUUAAAUGUAUUUUAAAUACAUGUAUCCGAGUGAUUAUUAUUUUCCCGCAGUUUUUGAAUAUGUUUUUUAAAUUCUGUAUUAUUUGUUUAUCUAUUUUCGCACAUUUCCCACACUAGUUCCUUUACGCUUUUAUUUUGAAAGCCACACGCCC
ensembl:lncRNA